AAAAAUAUAAUCAUUCAUUUGUGCAGACAAGAUUCUGAAAAUCGUCCAUAUAAUUACUCAUCCUUUUGGCGAAGAAACAAUUAUUGGUACAUGACAAUUGUGACCUCAAGCUAAUACACGACGACACGGUCCUUUUAGUUUCCUGGAAACGGUGAGUGAUCUGACAAAUAACAAACAAUUAAUCAUAGUAAACUGUAAACAACAACAACCACGAUCAACCACUGUAGCCGGCGCGACGCGAGGCAGUCCAGCCCGAGAGAUCCGCUAGUUCUUCUCCUUGUCCUUGUUCUUGGACGGGACGCGCCCGUCGGUGCCGGCCAGUAUGCCGUACUUCUCCUUGCGGGUGAUGGUGGUGCACUCGAAGCCGAGCUGGUCGCUGAGCGUCUUCUGGAUGUAGUUGGCGACCUCGAUGGGCGACUUGCCCCCGCCGCAGGUGAGCUCCUUGGGCAGCAUGUUGAGGAAGGUGACCUCGUAGACCGGCCGCGGGUUCAUGAAGAAGAAGUAGGGGUCCAUGAGCUUGAACCCGCGCACGGUGGAGCCGUGGAACAUGUGCUCCCUGGUGUUGAUCGCCACCGGCACGAUGCGGUCCGUGAGCUCGGCGAAGAGCGCGCUGAAGCGCAGCAGGUAGGGCUCCCGGCAGGUGGUGCCCUCGGGGCAGAUCACCAGGUCGCCCUCCUCCAGCAGCCGCCGGAUGUUCUCGGCGUCCUUGUCGCGCUCCCGCGUCAGCGCCACCGCCUUGAUCGGCGAGAUGAGCUCCGAGAACUUGGAGAUGCUGUAGGUCACGCAGCUCACCUUGCGGCCGAGCGCGACGGCGACCUCGAUGGGGUCCAGCACGGUGCGGUGGUUGCACACGAAGAGCACGCCCGGGCUCCCCUUCUUGGGCGGCGGCGGCGGGGUCCCCUUCACGAUGAGCCGGAUGCCCAUCAUGUGGUAGAUGUAGAAGACGAUGCGCUCCGGGAGGGGCAGGUUGAUGUACACGCGGAGGAGGGCGAGGGCGAAGCCGAACGGCAUCCAGAGGAAGGUGACCUAUGAAGCACCGAUACGUCCAGAAGCUGUGUAUCGGCGUAUAAUACGUCGCCGAUACUCCGAUACGUCCGAUACGCCAUCGAUACGCGUAUCCAUGGAGUAUCUCGUUUUUCGAUUUAAAAACAACGAAAAAAAUGCUGAUACGGCCGCCAGGACGGCGCCGACACGUCGGGGACACGGGAAGCCCAGUACGAGCCCACUCGUAACCCUAAACAGCCAGCGUACCCAAUUCGCUAGGGCGGUAGACUGGAUCGUCGGGCGAGCACAUCGUUGUAGACGACUUCAGUCUCUCGUCGCCGCAGCCGCCUGGAGUCGCUCGUUGCCGCCGCCUGGGCGUGCUAGCUGUGUGUGCUUAUUUCCGCCAUGCAUGCGUGGUUGUAGUUUAUGUGUGCGUGCUUGCUCACUGCUGAGUAAAUUGAUGAUGAUUCAGUCAUCCAGGAGGCGAGGAUUGAGUAAAGUGAUGAUCAGUCACUCAUUCAGUCAUCGAGAAAUAGGCAUGGAUGCAACAAAUGGGUUGUAUUUUGACCUCAUCUCAGGCAUUCAAUUCAUUGUCUUCAUAAUAAUAUGACAUUUUAUUAAUUAUUUAUAUAUACUCGCCGUAUCGCCGUAUUGCUGUUUUCAUAAAUUGCCGUAUCCCGUAUUCCCGUAUCCGUAUCGCCGUAUCGAUGUUGCUUCAUAGAAGGUGACGAGCGCCACCAGCGGCGUCGGGCGCUGCACGAGGCGGCCGUCGUGGAGGAUGAGGGGCGUCAGCAGCUGGUUCUUGGGCACCGGGCUGUACUUCCUCGACGUGACAAGGUAGGCUUCCUGCAUGCACAGCCACAGUGAGUGCUCAGCGUCCGGCACUGUGUAUACUGUUUAUCUUGAUCAGCGUGCCCAAUUAAUUUUGUCAUGUGCAGCAUCUCAGUACGGGUGUACUGUUUAUUUUGAUCCGCAUACCCAAUUAAUUUGGCCAAGUACCAUUAUCUUGGUACAAUUGUACAAGUACUUGCUCAAAUGAAUUACAUUUGAAAUCGUUGUGCACUUGUGCUAGCUAUUGAAUCGGUACUGCUUAGUGCAAUUUGAGUGCAAGUCAUCUCCCUAGUGAAAAGCGCCGUAAAUUAAUUAAGCAGCCAACGAUUAAGGCCAAUUGAACUACUCUAUCUUGGACUGAAUACUCGCAUGGUGCUCGUUUAGCCAUUCUAAGCGUGCAUCCCAAGUGCAAAAAUUUCAAAAGAGUGCAAGUACUGUGUACUGUUUAUUUUGAUCAGGAUACUUAAUCAAAUUCGCCAUGUGUGCCACCUCAGUACAGUCGUACUUUACCAUAAUGAAUUAUAGUAGGUUUGAAUCGCUGUGCUUUCGAUUCAGUACUGCUAGCUUAGUGCAAUUUCAGAAUAAGCUCUACUCCCUCCGUCUCAUAUGUAAGACUUUUUUGACAUUACAUUAAUGUUAAAAAAUAUCUUACAUUAUAGGACGAGGAGUACUUAAAUAGUUUAAAUCUGAACAAAACCACAUACUUAUUUUAGGACGGAGGUAGUAAGAGUUUCUUAGGGAAGAGCAAGUAAAUUUUAUUUCUAGUACUCGCUAAAAAAACUUCAGUAGUACUCACUAUAGACUACAUAUUGAGCAAAAUGAGUGAAUCUAUACUUUAAAAAAAAUCUAUAUACAUGCGAAUGUAGUCUUUAUAAUGAAAUCUUUAAAAAAACUUAUAUUUAGGAAAGGAGGAAGUAAUAAGCAUGAAUUAAGAUCCAAUUGAACUAUACUCCCUUUGUCCAAAAAUACUUGUUUUUAAAAUGAUUGUGUCUAGAUUUAUUUUAGUUAUAGAUACAUCUAUUUUAUUCAUUUCUAAGACAAGUAUUUUCAAACAGUGAAAGUAUUACUUUGGAGUAAUGAAGAUCACAGGCAGCAGUGAGCUGUGAGGCAGCGAGGCCAAAAUACAGUACUAGGCCUGCUCGUACCAGAACGGAUGUGCAAAUUAACUCCAAAUCUGGCGCCAUAAAUACGUGGCCAGCCUAGCCACCCCUACCAAGAGAGAAAUUAGUUAUAUUUACAGAAUAUCAUUUGUAGUGUUUUUUUCAAUAUAAAAAAAACCUCCCUUCACUGAUAUGGAAUUGACAGCAGCCAUACUGCUCACCACCUGGCCCUAAUUUCCAUCACUCAUUGGCCAAACCAAGAGUUAGGAAGAAAAACUUGAUAUAACAAGAAAACAAUGGAUUGAUCGCCUUUUUAGCUCAGGAAAUGAAAGAAAAGGGCUAUCUUAUCAAUCUAUGUAGAUUAAGUUUUAGAUUUUUUUUGUGCAGUCGUGGAAGACAUGGUUUGAAAACUAUAUCCCAUUUAUUUCGAUUUUGCUACAUAAUCCUUUUGUUACAUAAUCAUCGUGCAGGUGACGGAUGUGCAGGAGAAGAUAUUGAAACGAUUUUGUCUGAACAUAACAGUGCAUAUCCAGAAAAACCACUCAUCUCUCCUGACCCGUCAGAAAAAAGAACGAAGCGGAACAUGGACAACGAAGCACCGGAGCAAGUGCCAGCACCAACUUCGAGCAGGGAGCUACAAAAAGACAGGCCAUCAGAAACCAAGACUGUAGUUCCUCCUAUAACAAAAAGACAAAAGACAAAGGACAAAACUCAACUCAUCAGCGACAGUGCUACCUUGCAGCAGCAGCAGUAGCCAAGACCUCUAAUGGUGCUCCCGCCAGCAGUUACAGGGGUCAAAAAUGAACUAACUAAAACCAAAAAGAAAAACAAAAGACAACGGUUGGAAGAAGGCGAGGAUGAUGCCAGCAAAGAGUCAGAGCAUGAUGCUGCCGACGACGACGAUGGCACAAAACAUGAUGAUGACCACUUUCGUGCAGAGGGCGAUGACGCCGCAGGGGACAACGGUGGCGCCGCAGAGGACAACAACAAUGAUGUAAAACACAUUUUCUCUAUAGAUUUUUCCUACCGCUUUACACCCAUGAAAACCAAACCAUCCUCUAUAACAAAACACUCUUUUUCUACACAGGGAAAACCAAGACAGAAGCGGACAAAGAGGAUAAAGACAAGUGGCAAAGAAUUGGCAGCACCAACGGAUAAUGAACAUGAGGCAACAACAAAUAAAGACAAAUGCGAAAUCAAGGCAGGAGCAGCAUUUGAUCAGGUCAAUAGAGCAUGGAAAUUACUAAAAGAACGUCACCGACAAGAUGUUAGGACGGCCGGGUUUGGAAGCAUAGAGGAAUGCCAAAUAAAGCGCUCCAUCUGCAAACCGCUUGCAGCACACAUCUACGACAACCUGGACACAGAAAGCAUGACAAUAACAUUUGAUGACGCUGAUCAGCUGAAAGUAAUCAAGAUUACCAGGGAAGCUAUACACAAAGUGUUUGGAUACCCAAACGACACGGAAAAGUCAGCACCAAGGCCAGAGAAGAGCCCAGCUUCAGUGAAAGAACUGAUCAAAGAACUUGACCUCAAGAAAAUGGAUUUCCAUCACGACGAUCUGUUUAGUGAACUACAAAACUUGGUGAAAGUACAUGACGAACAAUCAAACAGGAAAUCAGUUAAAAUAUUUUUCCUUAUUUUUUUCCACAACAUUGUCUAUGGAACAACCUCCCCUACCUUCAGCAAACAAGCCAUUAUGGUCAAUGACUUGGACUAUCCAAAAAUGGCAACGAUGGAUUUCUGCGAGGUAAUCGUCGAAAGUAUUAAGGAAGGAGCCAAGACAUGGCAGAAGCACAGGUUGUUGCCUCAGGAAGAAAAGAACAAAAAGCAUCUCAAUGGUUUGGCACAGGGACCAGUAAUAAUGUACCUCGACUCCCUGCUGCUGCCGACCGACACAAUAGAAAUGCGCAAGAUUGCAAAGACAAUGGACAAGACAUCAUUACUGCGAGCAAACCACCUAAUAGAGAGUGGCCUAAAGAAAAUAGAUAUAGCAGACAUGAAAAAUGACGGAAAAGCACGACCAGAUGACUAUGAAUUUGGCAAGAUAAAGGUAUAUCCCUAUUGAAUAUAUAUGCAUUAUACCUUAUAAAAACGGUUUCCAGUCUAACCAACUCCAUUCUGCCGAAACAAUGCAGACAUGGAAAGGAACAGAAGAGAGGAUCUUCUAAGCCAGCACAGCAACACCUUCGCAUACAUUGCAGAUAAUAUCAGCACAACAACAGGAGCACCAGCAGACGACCAAGCUACUACCACCACCAACCAAGCGCCAGGACAAAGCACAUGUCAGCACGAGUGGAAGCAAGGAAUCAGUCACAGGCACCAGCACAGGAUCAUAUGAAAUAUUCGCAAGGAUAGAAGAAACGUUGAAACAAGCACUUGACGAAACAAAACAAAUACUGGGAAUAAAGACCAGGGCUGGACACCAAUGCAGCGAACAAGAGGAGGAAUUAGAUGAAAACAUGAAGAACUCAGUGGUGCAACAAACAAUGGCCCUGAUUGAUUCUCUCGAACAACUUAGAAAAUUUCAGGACAUUGUUUGCACAGUGAACUUACCAGAAGAGCCGUCGCUGAAGUUGCAGGAUGGAGCAGACGCAGGAGCCACAGCUGCACUUGUACAUGGCAACCACACGAAAGAACUCGCAGCCACAGCAGAACCAGGAGCGAGGAGAAAAAGGAAGAAGGAAGAAGAAGACCAACAAAACAAGCAUGAAAGGAAGAAAAGAAUAACAAAAUCAAGAACACAGACCUUGAGAAUUAGCCAGAGGGAGACAAAAGAACAUAACAAGGUGCAAAAAGAGCAAAGAAAAGAGCAUGUAUCAACCAAUACAGCAAGUGCUGAAGGACAUCAAAAACAAGGUAGAAAAGUAGCUGCAGAAGCAGAGAAUCAAGAUGAAAAAUAGGUAAAUGAGAACAAAUACAUCAUCCAUGUAACUCGAAAGCGAUGCUUUCAAACUUGAACGUAAAAAAUAUGUCUUCAGUUUUGUCAGGGACACGGCAAGAGAACGCCACCGAAACAUAAAGGCCAACAGCAGCAUGUCGUCAAGAACAUCGAGCAAGAGGAUGGAAGCAAUAGAACAAGCAACCCAACAACAGAUGAUGCUCCCUCAAAAGCAUCAACAGGAGCAGUACAAGAGACGAACAGGAUCGGAGGCAGCAAAGAAGUGAGUAUAAAAAAUCAGUCUCUUCUUUCUAAAAAGUCUCUUCUCUCUAAACUAGAAACGGUCUUGAGUUAGCUGACAAAUCUGCAACAAAAUAUAAACCCAGCCGGACAAGUAUCAUAUCAACGCUCCCGCAAGCGAGGCACGGGCUGAUCUAGCAUCGACCGUUAACAGCACGGCACAAAAAUAAGAAGAAAACAACAAAGAAGAGGUAAAACUUCCAAACCCAUCUCGCCCAAAUGCCAUCAACUCAUAUUGUUUCAUCUAUCAGCUAUUACAAGCACAGCAAAGAGAAGAGGAUGCCCAUUCAAAACAGAAAGUUGAUAUAGAACAGCUCUCCAGCACAAGAGCAUUUCAGAUGACCGAUACAGGGGAGAAAGCCUCAGAGACUGCACCUGGUGACACACACAAGGCUGGUAUACAAAGCAAAGAAAAAGUGGACGCAGAAACGGAUAUCCCAACCACCAGCGCAAAGGUAAAAUUCAACAAGAACCAUUUUUCCAAAAUUUAUAAGAAAUGUCCUACCCAGCACAACCUGUUGCAGUAACACAAGAAUUACAAGCAAUGAAUGAACCAUGCUUUUCCUUUUUUCAUGAAAUGCAGGAAACAAACAAGGACGGUCAUCCCGAAGAAGAGCAAGCGGUACAAAUAGAACAAACCAAAAAACAAGGGCAAAUGGCGACUAAAAUGGUACCCAGUACGCCGACCAAACAGAAGUCGUCACAUGACAAAUACAACGGAGAAUACAUGCCACCAGCAUCGAAGACCAACGAGGUAAAGCUACACGCACCUGCUCCUACAACAUUAAAAAAAGUUAUGCAUGCACAGAUGAAGUCCAAACUUUAUUUACAUUUUUUGACUGAACAGAAGAAAGAAACAAAUGAAGCAAAAGAUGUGCCUCAAGAAGCGAUAGAAAUUGCUGCUACCGCUCAACAAUGUACAAAAAGUCCAGAAGACAGAGAAGAAGCGACAGGAACGACAAAAGAGAGAUUGAAUGUAGAGGUCAAGCUACAAAACCUCUUUCUAUAGCAUAUAAAAAAACAGACAUAUUUUAAUUACUUUUUUGCGUUCCGAGAGAUGCAAGAAAUAGAGGAGAGCACCAAUAUUCAAGACCAACAAACACAACAAUACAAGGGAAUGGAACAAUCAGAAGAUGUUGUUCAAACAACGGACAGCGUAACCGCCGUAGACCAAGCCAGAAAACCUCCGCUGUCUGAGCAAGAAAUAACAGGGAUGUCAAUGUCGAUGCAAAAGACUGAAAAGGUGAAGUGAGAUAACCUGCUUUUAAGGAAAUUAGAUAUUUAAGUGAACAAAAACACAAAUGCAAUCUCAUUUACCUACCUCUAUGUCUCAACAGCCACAAGAAAAAAAUGACGACACCAUGGGAGAACAAAACGAAAAAGAUCCAGAGGAGCUCCAAAAACCUCCACUCAAAGAAGAAAAGCUCGAAGAGGCAGCACCGGCGGAAAUGGCUGAAAAGGUGAAGCUAAAAAAUCGUUCAAAGACACACUUAAACAUUUGAGUAUUUUUCUUAGGGAAUGGACACUAAACUACAAUGAAAAUAACGAGCAUAUUUAAUUAUUUUUUAACCAUGCUUUUACACGACAACGCAGAAACCUCAACAAGACACGCACGCAGAAACAAGCAAAGAAGCAAAGGGCCACGGUGCAUUGGAAGACCAUGCAGCAGACAUUCCAGAGAGAGAGUCAGACAACAACAAGAAAAAGGCCGCACCAUCAGACAAGAAACAUUGUUCUGUAAAAGAUGUUGCCGCCACAAACACGACGGUAAGCCAGGACGGCACUCAAACAGAACGUGAACCAUUGAUCAUACAAAACCUGUCCAUUGAAGAAGACACAAAAGAUGAAGGGAUCGAACGCCUGUACAACAAUGUCAUGACAGCGAAUGAGGACAAAGGGUAAGUUCAUGUUACCACCAACGAAUUAUAUUCCUCCAAUGAUUUUCUCCCUUAAAGAUUUUACAUGUAUACCUGUAAAUAUAUAUACAGAGAUUUUUAUAAAUACAAUAUAUAUAUGUGUGUGUGUGUGUUGCAGGCACGAGAUUUUUAUAAAUACAGAGACAUCAACAGUAACGGUGAGCCUCAUGGCGGAAAGCUUCAAGUCUGGAAAGCCAGUGCGCAGCGAAACCAUGGCAGUCAUGCUACAGAUGUUGAAAAAGCAAUUCAGGGGCACAAAGAGAAAGAUUAUAUCAACGUACAACAGCGUAAGUAAACCUCAAGUUUCAACAAAUGAAUAUCACUAUAUCGAUCAAUCAACCUUUCUGUACAAUUGAAUUUACAAACCUCUUUUACGCACAUGUGACAAAAAAAGCAGGCAUCAAUACGCAUGGCCAACCACGAAGAUCCAUUAGAGCUGAAAAAUAAAGACGAAGCACACGUCAGAGACAAGACAAUGCCUAAAAGGAUUAAAAGAUUCCUUGAUCUGGAAGAAGGAGAGCAACUACAAGAUUUCGACAUAGUAAGCACAUCUCAUGUUGCAGAUAAGAAAUACAAUCUUGGCACUACAAUUCCGACUAACGAUCAACAAAUCAUGACUAAAUUCAAGAAGGAUCCCUUACUUAUUUAUUUUUCGUUUUGCAGUUCUUUCUACCAGUUUGCAUAGGCGGGCCUGUUCAAGAAGGAGCUGUGAGUAUGGGCCACUACUUCGUUGUUACAAUAAACAUGAAAAAAGAGCGCUUCGAACUCCUUGACUCUUUAGCAGUUGAACAUGAAGGAACAAUGGAUUACUUCAACACAGUAACAAACAGAGUAAAGAGGACAUGGAAGCAAGUAAGCAAAUUGCUCCACCUGUCUCCAAGUAGUAUUGACCAUUUCGAAAAGGUCAAAAUGCAGGUGCCACUUCAGGGAGCAACGUAAGCACUACAAACCUUUCUCCUUUUCCUUACUCACUGUAACAAUUUAACUAUUAAUUCAAUACAUAAAAAACAUAGGACGUUAGGACAACUUCACCUAAACUGCCCAACCAUCUUUGGACAACGACAAUAACCAAUCAUCCUUCUACCUGCAGACUCGACUGUGCGUUCUACAUGUUCAUGAAUGCAAAGCACUACACCGACGGUGGAGAAACAGUGUACCUAACAAAAGAACAAGUCCCGGGGUUGAGGAAGAAAAUUCUAUAUCAAAUAAUCAGCCAAUACAGAGAUACGGCCGCACUGUCAUUAAUCAACUACACCAAAGGUUUCUCUUUCUCAAGACAACAAAGUAAAAUUCUACUUAUAUAAUUUUCAGAGACACACCAACAAUUUUUUAUUUUUUAUUUUAACAGAUAUGCUGAAUUCUGAGGUCGAUAUGGAAGACAGUGAAAUGGCACGAAUACAUUGUGACAUAAUUCAAGAAGAGAUUCCUCCAACUCCUGAGCAAAUUGGGACGAGCGCUCAAGAGAUACAAGUUAUUGACAUUAAUGACACAAACAGCGAUGAGGAGAAAGAAGAUUAUCAUGUGAGCAGCAAGGAUACCACCAAAGCGUCUGAAGAAACACUCACGGAAGAACAAGCCCAGACAGAUGCUGGUUUAUAGAGGGAACAACACACGCAGCCAGACACUGAUUUACAAAAGGAAGACGAAAGGAAAGAUCCACCGAUAGAACCAGGUAGACCACCCCCAUAUAAAAAGACAGAACACAUAACAGGCUCUCCUUUAGAAGGUGAUAACAGGACAAAGAGCAUACCAACUCACCAACAAGAGCUUUCCAACAGAACAAGGACCCUGUUGACGAAGAUCACAAACCAGGAACAUCACCCGAGGUGAAACAUGCACGGGAAGAAAAAAAGCAGAUAGAGAAGGAUUUAACAAAAAAGAUACUUGAACAGAGGAAACGCGAUGCUGCAAUCUCAGUACAACCGAGCAUCAAAAACAACAGCACACAAAAGGAAUCACCAACACCUAGGCAGCCUAACGAGCAAGCACAGUUAGGUCAUGACAAGAAAAAGGCAAGGCAUCUUCCAAGAGUACAGACAAGAUCCCCAAAACCCUCAAUGAUUCAAUCAUCAAAGAUCAACUCAGCAAACAUAAUCUCAAUUAAGAGGCCAUUCAAACGACCAAGCAAGGAACCUGGGAAAGUCAAGGUUGCAUCAAUUGUUCCAGGAGAUUUCAUUUAUAGAGAAAAGGCCAUGUAACUCUAUAGAUAUCUGAUGAGCCGACAAGGACAGAGAGAAUGCGCAGGGUAAGCAAAUUCUCCUAGUUCCAUGGAAACAACUACAGAGAGCUACAGAUUCUCUAACAUCCAACUAACAAUUCACUCACCUACUUCCAAACCCUCCUUGCACACAAGUGCUAUAUAAAUAUAAAAGCUCAAACCGAGAAGACUGCAUUUCAGCAAAAUCCUUCAUGGAACAAGCAGGAAAAGGAGAAACACAGAUGGAGGGCUCCAUGCUAAACACAUUACUGGAGGAAUGGGCAGAACAAGAACAGUUCAACCCAGACGACACAACUAUACUCCCUGCAGGUUUCGCAAAUGUAUGCAUACCUCACACACAAAAAUACCACCGCCAUUACUACGAUAGAAUAUUUAACUAAAAUCACACACUCUCUUUCUUGAAGCUGGUGCUCGGUCUCAAUUAUGAUAACGGAGAGCUAUCAGAAUUCAACAAGGACGAAGCACUAAAAGGAUUUGAACUCCUCGUGGGAGGUAAAGACAUCCUCCAUUCAAAGAUGGUAAGCUCAGUAUUAUUACUUAGCACAUGACCUAUUCUCUUUGAGCUUUCAACAAUAAAAUGAAAUUCAAUUUUUACAUCAACAAUGAUCUCCGCUCUCAACGUAGAUCAUGAUACCUCACCACACAAACAAACACUACAUGCUCUAUGUUGUGAACAAGUUCAGAGAUAGCAUCGACAUCCUUGACUCAUUGAACUACGUAAACUAUGCCGAUUUGUCUUGGAGUCAACACCACGUGCAUCGAGAAGAACUGGUACGUACUUUGUGUACAUUGAUUUCAUGUUUUCCUCAUGAUAGUAUGAUACUCUUACUUUCCUCAAUGCCGCACCCAAACAACAAAACCAUAAUCCAAUAAUAGAUGAGAAGGAUGUCCGUGCUGAUGAACAAGCACCACGGACUAAAACACAAUAACGAACCAGACUGGGAAAGGAUAGCAGAAAGGCCUCACAGGGUCUGCACACCAAAGCAAGAAGGAACACAAUGCGGUCACUUCACAGCCCAAUUUGCGAAAUACUAUAAUGGGAAAGAACUGGUCAAGGACAGAGAGGAUUUUCAUGUAAGUUACCACUACAUACACAUCAAAUGACUUGAUUUCUUUAUUACCGUAAUUAGUUUAUUAACAAUUGUGAACAACACGUAACUAUAAACCAUACAAUUUCACAUGCCUGCAGCCCAGUAAGGUCAAUGCCGAAUGGAAACCGGAGUACGUAUACACACUCAUAUUCGGUAAAACCAACCAAAUAAAGGACCAUCAACUUCCUAGAAAACUCAAAGAUUACAAACCAGAGACUGCAAACCUUUUUUCACCCAUGAAAGGUAAUAUAACUAUUUUCAUUUUUACCAUCAGUCAACAUUACUGGAGCUUCCAAUAUUUCUCUUAGAAACAACAGCCAUAAUUUUUUAUCUGCUUUGACAGAGCGAGACGUAAAAAAAACCACAUCAGUCAGAGAGCAGCAAGAAAUACCCGCAACAUUGGCAUUCGUUUCUACACGUGGAUAAGGCAAACGAGCUCUACAACAUAGUCAUGAGUGACACAUGGCAGGAUGGAUUUAAAAGGUAACUGCAAAGAACCUUAAAUUCCUGUUUAUCAAAAGGAAGUACUUGGUUAAUGAUUUUCUCAACAAAAAUUUCCCCGAAUUUAAGCAGAAAAGUAGUAUUCUCGAGAAAUCAGCCAAAGACAACUUUUACUGGAUCAAAGCUAAAGGAAAUAUUUGGGCCUGCAAAUAAGAAAAAUCUUCAAGGAAUGGAAGAGAAGGUGCUCGAUGAGUUAGCAGAAGCAUGGGAAAGCAGCAACCAAACUAUACACAAAAGACAUAGACUAUUAUUAGGCCCAAGCUUUGCGGAGGUAAAUUUCAAAAAAAAAAUCACAGUGAUCAUAUGAACUCAUCAUUUUCGAACUAUUGUUUAAUCUCUUGGUACCAAUCUAUUUUUUCUAACUCGGUUUUAUCGUUUUUUAUUUGUUGCAUGCAGCAUAUUCUGGGUUUAAAGGAUAAAAGAAAAUCUAUGAAGGAUUUCAUAGUUGAUUUCACACGAGAAAAGGAUGCCUUGGUUCCUUUGUUCCUUAAGAAAUGUCAAUCAGAGAAGCUCAAAACAGCAAAAAUGGUAAUAGUGUUUUCCAUACAACAAAAUAAAAAUAAGCAUUUCAAAACAGAAUACUAUAUUCUAAACUCUCCUCUAACAAUAAAACUUUUGUACCACAGGUAUUCAUGCCAUUUGAAAAGGAAGACCGUUACACACUAUUAGUGCUCGACAGAUAUAAAAGGAAGCUUCAAAUCAUCGAACCUGAAGAAACCUCUCUUGAAGAAUUGAGAAGACAAGAAUACCUGAAAAAUCAAUGUGGUCAACACAUGCAUGAUGGCAAACUAAUGAAGCAGAUUGCUAUAAUGGAAAACAACGAAGCCAUCAAAGAAAAGGACCAUCGCACAUACCACAACCAUAAAGACAAAGUGGUAAGAAUUGUAAAUAACGCCAUCUUUCAGUUUUACAAAUUACACUACAUGUAUCUCUAAAAACAAAAACAAAAUGCAAUUCCCAGGUUCCCAGGUUUAAAGAAGUAUACAAAAUAUUAUUGGGUGAAAAAUUCGAAAAGGAAAAUACAAAAUGGGGUGUUGAAGUUUUACAGGGCAUUCCAAAGGUGAACAAAGGUGAAACCCCGUUUGCUGUUCUAAGGUUCGCGCAUCUCUUUGAUGGCAACCACUUCGUCGAAGAGAUUGAUAAUUUCGACGUAAGUUUUCGCUUAAAACUCGCAAUAAAUCUUCUAGGUAUCAUACAAAUGCAUGACCUAAUACUGAUGUGUUUUUUCUCCUUUUUUUCACUGGCCUUUUUGUAGGAUGGCACGGAACAAUGGAAAGCACAACAACUGUGCAAGCUAGUAUUUAGCGAUCAGAAUACAAUUGAACCCAACAAAAUGGGCGAUGAGAUUAGAAAGAUCUACGACGACAUCACGCAAUAAAAAGUUGUUGUUAAGCGAACGAGCCUAGCUCCAUCGAAACACCAGAAGACGGUUUAACCGCACAUCAUACUGUAAUAAUGAAGCAACAGACUAUUUUUUAUUGAUGUACCUCCUUGAUUCUUCAGUAAUCAAGCAUUCGAACACAAGCCAGUGUCAAUGCCAACUAUCAAUCCAGGCGGUUGAUGACCAUGCCCCAUAAACCACCCAAGUCCGUCCCUAGACAUACGUACGUCACGUCGACACGCCGUGACUCUACAUACUACUCACACGUGACCACCGGUGACUUUGAUGUUUCACAAACAUUCCCCCUUUCUGAAACCGUGUGCUGCCGAAUGCCACCAACCUACAGAAUGAGUCUGGCGGGAGUACAAACAUGACUCUCUAAAUGAGUAUUCAAGCAAAUGCAUGUGGUCCCACCGACUAGCGCCGUUAGAGAUCUCACACCUGUGCAUCCACAAUGGUGCCUUCCUACCUCAGUACUAGCAAGCGAGCCUCUCCGACCACACCACCAUGCAUCCAGAGGGUCAAGAGCCAGUAAUGCCUCUCAAAGCCCCACAACACUCCAUGCCCGUGAUGCCAGACACGUGUGACUUUCUAGAGGCUUCACAACCGUGACUCCUUAACUUCUUAUUCGGAAGCAUGCCUCUGGUAUCACACUUCCGUGCCUCUUGGGUCUUCACCUCCGUGCCUUCCGUGACUGCAUCUACGUGCCUAACGUGUCGCACCAUGAGAAUCUUACAUGGACACGGUACCAUGCCCAUGUCUCUUCACAAACGUCAGAACAGUGCAUCUCUAACCGAGCAUUCCAACACAUACCUCUCAGACCACACUAUUGUGCACCCACAACAUUGAUACCCGUGCAUCGAGAAGUCGCAAUCCCAUGCCUUGCGUACCUGGAUACAGGUGCCUCUCUCACAUGACACUUGCCAUGACUCUUACAUGCCCCAUGACAUCGCACAACCUUGACUCACUUCCAAACCGUGACCCUGUAACUAUGUAUUCGGAGCUCAACUCUGCUACCCCGUCCACGUGCCUCCGGUCCCUGUAGUAACACACGCCGGUGACUCUAGAGACUGCAAACAUGUGCCUCUCUAACUAUGUAUUCCGACCCAUACCACUCCUACCACUCCUCAACAAGCCGCGCAUGUGUAAACAACUAAAGUGUACUCAGCGCAAAAAGACUGCUUUGCAUUUUGUUGUUUUAGAGUAAAAAGCAACAUUACUACUUCAAAAUCACAUGAUUGCUGAAUAAACAUAGUACUUAGCAAGCUAAAUAACUUGCUCAAUCACAUAAACAAACUACAACUUGACAUAAGGAAACUUGUUUAACCUGAUACAGAUGACAUUACAAACUCCUUCAUUCUAACAAAAUUAAACUACGAACCUGAUACAAUAGAAAGGACAAGCAUAAACACAAGCAACUCCGUGACCAGUUUUCAUCGUCACUAGUACCCGUAGUAAGGAUCUUCAUAAUUCUUCUCUGCCUCUUUUGCACUCUCCAGAACUUCUCUGAUGUUUUCAAUUCUCUUCCACGACUCGUAGGUUGCGUACGCAUCUAUCGCUGCAUACUCAAUGAGGUAAUUUGGCAGUGGGAUGAUCCCCCACAAUUUAUGGUCUUUAACUCUAUCAAUCUUAUCCUUCAUCUGUUUGUAGAAUGGGUGGAUCACGCUACUUGCAACAUCAGCCAAAGAGUGGUACCUCUUUCUUCCCUCGAAAGGAACUCCCCAUUGCGCUGGAUGUCAAUGUACUUGUCGGGGUUGAUCUCCAAACCAGAACUUCGCAGCAUCUCUUUGUCACCUUCAAUACUGAAGCCGGCAAAGGUGUAGAACCUGUCCUCCUUUAGGAACGGACGCAGGCUCUUGGGCCUGCAGGGGGAUGGCACAUUUAAGGUGGAUUCAGCAAGUAUCGAUCAAGUACAUGCUUAUUUUUAUUUUUGGAAUUUACACUUGAACCAAUUACCUAUCUACUUCUUAGCCACGUUAACAGAUCAAUUCAAGAAACUGAAUACACUAAAGAGAAAGUACGCUAGAACAUCAAGUUCAGAAAAUAAUCUCAUACAUCAAACCCAUAAAUUAAUCUAGUGCAUCAAAUACAUAAACUGAUCUGGUGAGUCAAGUUCAAAAUCUAUUGUGCUGCAUCUACUUCAGAAACUUCACUGAUACAUCAAAUCAAUAAACCAAUCUAAUCAAAUUUCCGGAUGAAAAGAUAAUUAAACAAAAGCAUGGAGAGGUUGAAACUGUUGGAUGGUUCACCAUUUUUUUGCCGCUGUGAUGUGAUAUACCAAACAGAGUUCCUCCACGCAUAACUGUAGAACCGCUACCCUCUACGGAGGUUGGUCCUCCCUGGUAUACUCGACAUCAACGCCGAUGUACUGAGGGUACAAGCCGCAGACCCUCUUCAGGAUCCUGCUGAUCAUCUUGUCAGCUUCCUCAGGAUUGCUGGUGCAUACGACAUCCAGCUUUUCCUUGCCGUGGAUGUCAACCUCCUUGAGGUGCACUUUGUAGUCGUGCUUCUGACCGGGGACCUGAACGUCAUCGACCUCCGUGCUCUGGUCGGACAUCUCACCACGAGGAUGCUUGGCAGAUGGUUCCUCCGCCAUUACGCUCCUCCAGCGAUGGCCGUCGUCACACAGAGAUUGUGAGGAGAUGCUAGUUGAGAUGGAAUGGCAAAAAUGUUUUCGGAAUUGAGUGGCUAUGGAAGCGCAGUUACCCUUUUCUACCAAGGUCUGGGUCAUGGAGGAGGCGGUUGGACGUGGCCUCGUCGUGGUAGAGAGGGCCAAAGACAUGCGCUCGUCAUUGCUGUGCGUCAAGGCAACCGCCGAGUGGCAACCCUCGCGGUUGGCGGGAAAAAGCAACCGUCAAAUCGUCUGAUUAAGCACGUAACAAAUGUUAUUGCUCGCACCUUUCCCGGCGCACACCGCUACUACCACACGACCAAUGCUGCACAGACUUCACACAUGCGGACCCACAACAGAUACUCUCUGAGUACUAUUCACACCGAUGCCUCUACUACCAAACUACUCGUGGCGACACACGCUCGUAACUCUAAAGACUUCACAACCGUGACUUUCUGAGUACGUCUUCAGAUGCAUGCCCCUGCCACCACAUAUUUGUGCAUCCACAGAGUCGAUACCAGUGCCUCUAAAAUAACAACGUCGGUGCCUGUAGAACCUGGUGUUCCGUGCCUCACACGUCUACUAAGAUGCUAUAGCGAAAAAACCAGGCGACACGAAUCUUGAUACUAAAAUCAGACCGUCGAAGAUUACAUACGGUUCCAUCAUUUCCAUUUAUCCCACCUCCACUAUUCUCUUCCUUCCUCACUUCCACAGCAAAAUCUCGAAACAUUCCACACUGACACAAGAUCUCCUCAUAGGUUCAUUACACCAAAUUCCAAGUAGAGUUCCCCUCGCAAAACAACCGCCACCACGCUUCGGCAACCACCCUCUCACUUCAAGAUACACACCGUUAAACGAUGCGCCCAACAACACAAACUACCCACCAGACGACGAUGAAGCAAGGACUUCAACACCGCCGGCGGAGAUCACAAAAAAACGAACAGACAGAAUUGACCGAUGGAAGCGAGAAGCCGAACACAAGUAAUCGAAUGUAAAUAACAAUCUAUCCCAUUACAUUCCAUUCUACAGGGACAACAACCCUAUCCACCACAAAAAACAGAGUUUUGCACUAUCCAAAAUCAACUUGUCUCAAAAAUUGAAGUACCGUACACACGACAAUUAAUAGAAACGCUAAUGCUCCCGGCUACGGAAUUUUCACCACACGAAAUGUGCUUAAAAGUACUACAUCUGCCACUUCACUAACUAUAAUACCUCAAACGAUCCAAAUACUUCGAGCAUACUGAGAACUCAAACUUGGUAAUUACACCAGAUUUUCUCUGCCUAUUGUCCCUUGAUUGUAACUAUUUUCAAGUUAAGUGUCUUGUGUCCGUCAUAGCAGUGUUUUUACUUCAGUGCCCCCUGUACCAGAAUACGUGCCUCCUGUACACUCUAAGCCCUGCCUCAUGUGUGUACAACCACGUGCCUCGCAUGACACUUGACGUGACUCCUAUGGGGCCUGUCGUGCCACACCCACCUCACAUUCACAACCUUGGUUCUGUAACCAAGUAGUCGGACCCAUGCCUCUGCCGCCACACGUUUGUGCAUCCAAAGAGUGAACACCUGUGACUUAAGAAAACACACGUACGUGCCUGUUAUGGAUUCACCUUUUCUGCCUUCCAAGCCUGUUCCAACGUGCCUUUGUCGCUCCCAAAACUUCACCACCAUGCCUCUUUGACCAAGCAUUCUAACACUCAGACCCAUGCCUCUGCAGCCACACGUUUGUGCAUCCAUAGAGUGCACACCCGUGACUUGAGAAAACACACGUACGUGCCUUUGUCGCUCCCGAGACUUCACAAUCAUGCCUCUUUAACCGAGUAUUCUAACGCUCGGAGCCAUGCCUCUGCAGCCACACGUUUGUGCAUCCAUAGAGUGCACACCCGUGACUUGAGAAAACACACGUACGUGCCUUUGUCGCUCCCGAGACUUCACAACCAUGCCUCUUUAAUGGAGCAUUCUAACACAUGCCUCUCAAACCACACUCUUGUACUACAUCCACAGGAUUGAUACCCGUGCCUCGAGAAGCAGCAUGUCCGUGGCUGCGUUGGCUUCAUUUCCGUGCAUCCACUACUUAAAUCCACGCGUCUCACACAACACUGGCCUCCUGUGCCUGCGUCAACGUGCCUGUAGAACAUGCACUUCAGUGCCUUGUGUGCCUGCAUCCACAUGCCUAUAGAAAGGAGACGUGACUUCACAAACGUGACUUCACAAAUGUGGUGCCUUCACUUCUUUGCCUACACGUACAUGCACCCACGUGCCUCACGUGGCACUCGCCCAGACUCUUACGUGCCCCGUAACGCCAAACCCACGUGACUUCACGAACGUUGUUCUGUAACCAAGUAGUCGAACCCAUGCCUCUCCCGCCACACAUUUGUGCAUCCAGAGAGUACACACCUGAGGGAGUCCUGGAUUAGGGGGUGUUCGGAUAGCCGGAUUAUACCUUCAGCCAGACUCCUGGACUAUGAAGAUACAAGAUUGAAGACUCCGUCACAUGUCCGGAAGGGACUUUCCUUGGCAUGGAAGGCAAGCUUGGCGAUACGGAUAUGAAGAUCUCCUACCAUUGUAACCGACUUUGUGUAACCCUAACCCUCUCUGGUGUCUAUAUAAACCGGAGGGUUUUAGUCCGUAGGACAACAUACAUCUCAACAAUCAUACCAUAGGCUAGCUUCUAGGGUUUAGCAUCUCCGAUCUCGUGGUAGAUCUACUCUUAUACUACCCAUAUCAUCAAUAUUAAUCAAGCAGGGCGUAGGGUUUUACCUCCAUCGAGAGGGCCCGAACCUGGGUAAAACUUCGUGUCCCUUGCCUCCUGUUACCAUCCGGCCUAGAUGCACAGUUCGGGACCCCCUACCCGAGAUCCGCCGGUUUUGACACCGACAUUGGUGCUUUCAGUGAGAGUUCCUCUGUGUCAUCGCCGUCAGGCUCGAUGGCUCCUACGAUCAUCAAUAGCGAUGCAGUCUAGGGUGAGACGUUCCUCCCCGGACAGAUCUUCGUCUUUGGCGGCUUCGCACUGCGGGCCAAUUCGCUUGGCCGUCUGGAGUAGGUCGAAAGCUACGCCCCUGGCCGUCAGGUCAGAUUUGGAAGUUUAAACUACACGGUUGACAUCCGCGGGGACUUGAUCUUCGACGGAUUUGAGCCACUAGCAAGCGCGCCACACUGUCACGACGAGCAUGAUCUAGCUCUGCCGCCGAACAAUGCCCUGGAGGCCGCACCCGCGUCAGCUCCGACCCUUAAUUCGGAGCCAACUGUGCCGAUCGAGGAUGGGCGGUUGGACGCCACCUCGGGGGCUGCGACCCCAACGGCGAUUGAGCCGAACACUAGCCCCGUACUCUGCGAGACUCGUGACUCCAAGGAGCCGGACUCCUCUCCGGACUCCGAACCCUUCGCGCCCCUGCCGAUCGAAUCCGAUUGGGCGCCGAUUAUGGAAUUCACUGCCGCGGACAUCUUUCAGGACUCGCCUUUAGGCGAUAUCCUGAAGUCACUGAAGUCUCUCUCUUUAUCAGGAGAGCCCUGGCCGGAUUACGGUCAGCAAGGUUGGGGUACGGACGAUGAAGAAAUUCAAAGCCCACCCACCACCCACUUUGUAGCCACUGUCGACGACUUAACCGACAUGCUCGACUUCGACUCCGAAGACAUCGACGGUAUGGACGCCGAUGAAGAAGAUGAUGAAGAACCAGCGCCUACUAGGCCCUGGAAAGCCACCUUGUUGUAUGACAUAUACAUGGUGGACACCCCAAAAGAGGGAGAUGGCGAUGGAACAGCGAAGGAUGACCCCUCCAAGAAACAGCCUAAGCGCCGGCGUCAGCGGCGCUGUCAAAAUCCCGCCAAAACAAAGAUGGUGAUUCCAGCACGGGAGAUAAUAAUACUCUGGAAAGUGCCGAAGAAAACCCCCUCCAGCAAGAUUUAGCACAGGAGGAUGAAGAAACCAACCCUCAUGAGAGAGCGACAGACAGAGAGGUUGAGGACGAUAAUUAUAUGCCUCGCUACGAAGACGAGGCAAGCCUCGACGACGACGAAUUUGUCGUGCCAGAGGAUCCCAUCGAGCAAGAGCAUUUUCAAUGCAGGCUUAUGGCCACGGCAAGAAGCCUCAAGAAAAAACAGCAACAACUUAGAGCUGAUCAAGAUUUGUUAGUCGACAGAUGGACUGAAGUCCUUGCGGCCGAAGAUCAUAAACUCGAUCGCCCCUCCAAGAGCUACCCAAAGUGCAGGUUGCUACCCUGAUUCAAGGAGGAAGCACUUGAUGCGGCCGACCGGCCACCUCGUGGCCGCGACAAAGAGGCCUCUCGGCCCUCCAGUCAAGCCACACCCCAUACCAAGGCAUGGGAAUAUGCGCCGGACUUACGAGACGUGUUGGAGGACAAGGCAAGGCAAACAACAUCGAUCUAUGGAUCGCGUGGGCGCCCCACAGCUCGAGACAGUAACGGCCAUGCCGGCCACAAAUUCGGCAGGGCCAAACACAGUAGAUAGUGCUCGUUGGAGCUACGUCAUGAUAUAGCCCAGUACAGAGGUGCCACACACCCACUCUGCUUUACAGACGAAAUAAUGGAUCAUCAAAUCCCCGAGGGUUUCAAACCCGUAAACAUCGAAUCAUAUGAUGGCACAACAGAUCCUGCGGUAUGGAUCGAGGAUUAUCUCCUUCAUAUCCACAUGGCCCGCGCCGAUGAUUUCCACGCCAUCAAAUACCUCCCACUCAAGCUUAAAGGACCAGCUCGGCAUUGGCUUAACAGCUUGCCAAUAGGAUCAAUCAGUUGUUGGGAGGACCUGGAAGCCGCAUUCCUCGACAAUUUCCAGGGCACUUAUGUGCGACCCCCAGACGCCAAUGACCUAAGUCACGUAAUUCAGCAGCCAGAGGAAUCGGCCAGGCAAUUCUGGACACGGUUCCUAACAAAGAAAAAUCAAAUAGUCGACUAUCCGGACGUUGAGGCCCUAGCAGCCUUCAAGCACAAUAUCCGUGACGAGUGGCUGGCCCGGCACCUUGGACAGGAAAAGCCGAAAUCUAUGGUAGCACUCACGACACUCAUGACCCGCUUUUGCGCAGGAGAAGACAGCUGGCUGGCUCGUAGCAACAAUAUGACCAAGAACCCUGGUAAUUCGGACACCAGGGACAGUAGUGGCAGGUCGCGUCGCAACAAGCAGAAGCACCGCAUUAACGGCGACAAUGUUGAGGAUACGGCAGUUAAUGCCGGAUUCAGAGGCUCUAAAUCCGGUCAGCGGAAAAAGCCAUUCAAAAGGAAUCCUAGGGGCCCAUCUAGUUUGGACCGAAUACUCGAUCGCUUGUGCCAGAUACAUGGCACCCCUGAAAAGCCGGCCAAUCACACCAACUGGGAUUGUUGGGUGUUCAAGCAGGCAGGCAAGUUAAACGCCGAAAAUAAAGACAAGGGGCUGCAUAGUGAUGACGACGAGGAGCCCCGGCCGCCGAACAACAGUGGCAAAAGGGUUUUACCCCACAAGUGCGGAUGGUGAACAUGAUAUACGCAACCCACGUCCCCAAAAGGGAGCAGAAGCACGCGUUAAGGGACGUAUACGUGGUAGAGCCAGUCGCCCCAAAGUUCAACCCAUGGUCCUCCUGCCCGAUCACCUUUGAUCGAAGGGUACAUCCCACUAGCAUCCGUCAUGGCGGAUUCGCCGCAUUGGUUCUAGACCCAAUUAUUGACGGAUUUCAUCUCACUAGAGUCCUUAUGGACGGCGGCAGCAGCCUGAACCUGCUUUACCAGGAUACAGUGCGGAAAAUGGGCAUAGAUCCCUUAAGGAUUAAGCCCACCAAAACGACCUUUAAAGGCGUAAUACCAGGUGUAGAGGCCAACUGUACAGGCUCAGUCACACUUGAAGUGGUCUUCGGAUCUCCGGAUAAUUUCUGAAGCGAGGAGUUAAUCUCCGACAUAGUCCCGUUUCACAGUGGUUAUCACGCACUGCUCGGGCGAACCGCAUUCGCUAAGUUCAAUGCGGUACCGCACUACGCAUACCUUAAGCUCAAGAUGCUAGGCCCUCGAGGAGUAAUUACGGUCAAUGGAAACACCGAACGCUCCCUCCGAACGGAGGAGCACACGGUGGCCCUUGCAGCGGAAGUACAAAGCAGCCUCUCCAGGCAGUUCUCCAGUCCGGCCACUAAACGAUCGGACACCGUCAAGCGCGCCCGGAGUAACCUACAACAAGACCGCCUGGCACGAUCCGAGCAGGCGUAGCAAUGCGGCCCCAACCCCAACCCUCGCAAAAAGGCGACGCCAAUACUUCGCGUACAUAACUACGCUCUAGAGAUACCAUGGGUACAGGGGGAGGGGCGCCAUCAUAGCACACCCAAAACACGGCUUAAACCGUACCAGGGGCUGCCGAUUUUUUAAUUUUCUCUUACUCUCAGGACUCCAUCCUUCGGAAGGCCUGUUCGGUAGUUCAAUUGCCGCACAAACGAUGCAAGAACCAGGGAAGCAAACAAGCCACGCGGCAUUACGGAACUCCCAGGUGGUCUCUAUCACGAGCAGUAUACCUGUUCCGUAUACUAUUCCGCAGCUUGCCCCUGAAACGGACAUGUUAACUAGUCCAACCUUCCACUUAUCGCAUUAUUUGUAUCAUUCUGCUUUGAUCACAGCCCUUUUUAAUAAACAAUGCAUAGCUUUCGUCUAUUUUUGCAUUACCUUUUUUCUUUUCAUAUAUGUUCCUUAACGACAUGUUGCCCCUGUACACGUUGGUAUGGCCAAAAUACGCCAGGGGCUUUAGUACCCCUCAAUAUGGUGUGAGAAGUCCGGACACUUUAACAAGUGCGGCACCCCGAACUUAGAGCAUUAUAUGCAUCGGCUCUGAAUCAUGUGUUGGGUCAAUAGUUGGGUUUGCCCGGCUCCUAUGUUUUGGUUCCUUACGUUCCGCUAUAUUAGCUAAGGUAGCACUAGGAGAACCACUGCGAUUGUGCCCCAGUUGAGCUGGGUCGAGCACCUCAGUGGAGAAAGCUAAAACUGACUGUCAUGAUGAAGCGAGAGCUUGUCGCUGUUCGAGAGGUUUUUCGAGUCCCUAAAGACUUAUGCUGCUUAGGGCGAGGAGCCGGCUCUGUCUGGCCAAGGCGUGGAUAGCGCCCCGAACUCGGUCUUCCGAAUACCAGGGGCUUCGCCGAAAUUUAAAAUUAUAGAAUUCUAUGGCUAAGUGAGUGUGUUCAUGCAUUAUAGUCCAAUUGCCUUGUUCGUUGGGCUGAGCGCCUCCCUCGAAGGACCCAAACAUGGGAAAAAGAGCGCUCAGGUUUAUCCCCGAACACCCCAGCACUCGCCAUCUCUCAGAAUUGAUAAACAGCCGCACAGAAGGUAAUAUUUUAAAUGCCAACAGCAUUGCUUAGCGCAUAUAAACAAGUUUUCAGCGCACAUGACAAAACGAGCAAGUUUCACUCAAAAAUUACAUCCCUAGAACAUUCAUCCGCCACAAGGUAGGCACCCUUCAGAACAUCCUUAUAAUAAUUUUCGGGCUUGUGAUGCUCUUUCCCCGACGGUGGCCCGUCCUUCACAAGUUUCUCAGCAUCCAGCUUGCCCCAGUGCACAUUAGCACGGGCAAGGGCCCUACGGGCACCUUCAAUGCACACGGAGCGCUUGAUGACUUCGAGCCUUGGACAGGCCUCCACCAGCCGCCGCACCAGCCCGAAAUAGCUCCCAGGCAGAGCCCCUCCAGGUCACAGCCGAACAAUGGGGCCCUUCAUGGCCUGUUCGGCCGCCUUGUGGAGCUCGACCAGUUGCUUCAGCUGGUCGCUCAGGGGCACGGGGUGUCCGGCCUCAGCAUACUGAGACCAGAACACCUUCUCUGUCGAGCUACCCUCCUCGGCUCGGUAGAAUGCGGCGGCAUCAGACACACUCCGGGGAAGAUCUGCGAACGCUCCUGGAGAGCUCCGGAUUCGGGUAAGUAACAAGUAACUCACGUUUAUGUGUUUGCUUUGUGUAAAGAAUGCCUUACCCGCCGCUAUCUUCUUCACCUCAUCCAACUCUUGGAGGGUCUUCAGGGAUUCGGCCUUGGCAGACUUGGCAUUUUCAAUAGCCACCGCGAGCUCGGACGCUCGCGUCUUUGAGUCAAGCUCCAAACUCUCAUGUUUUUCCAUGAGAGCGGAGCUCUUGCCGCACCUUGCCAACCUCGGCCUCAUACUUCUCCCGCUCGGUGCACUCCGAGGCCGCCCUCUUCUCGGCCUCGACCAGCACUUGCUUAAGGGUCGCCACUUCAGACAUGGCCCCUACAAUAGCCAUGAUAAUCCUGUCAUUCUUUGCAAUUGCACCUUUUUAUAUAUAUUUAAAAACAAGGUAUUUCUUACCUUCAUUGUCCUCGAGCUGCUUCUUGGCACGCCCGAGCUCUUGCUCGGACCGCUCGAGGUUCUGCUUUAGCGUGUCCACUUCCGCAGUCAGUGUGGCGGACGCAAGCAGAGAAGCCUGCAUAUGCAUAUUGACUCAUUUUUGUUAGACUCCUGCGAAUUUUAUUUGAUCCUCUAUUCGGCUUUUCUUCCCGAACGCCAAACAGAGCAUCAGGGGCUACUAUCUAUGCGGUAAUAUUAUUUACACAUUCUUUACUUACCUCAAAGCCUGUUAAAAGGCUAGUACAAGCUUCAGUCGGUCCGCUCUUGGCGGACUGAACCUUCUGGACCACCGCACUCAUAAUAGUGCGGUGCUCCUCGUUGAUGGAGGCGCCUUGGAGCGCCUCCAACAUAUUGUCCGGCGCCUCCGGUUGGACGGGGGCCACCGCCACGGUGGACUUGCUCCUCUUGGAAAGAGGUCCCCCGCCGGACUCUGGAACCUUUGAAGGUUCCGGAGCGGUGUCCGGCCUAGAGCCGGACUUGGAGCCCUGGGGGGUUUCAUCCCCUUUACUCCUGGAGUCCGGGAGGUCGCCUUGCGGCGCCUCCAGGACCACCUCCUCCCGGCUUGGAACCUGUUGGGACAACACUUCGGUGUCGUCCAUAGGGCGGGGGGAGGAAGCCGUCGGAAGCGAAUUCACAUCCGACGAGUCCAGUGAGCCGCUCGACGACGCAUCGAGACGGUCUUUGGGUGGGCUACAUAAACAUAUUUGACGUAAGGAAAAGCUGUGCAAUAAACGAAUACUAUGAAUUACUCUGGUAUCCGGAUACUUACGAUUUUGCCAGGGCCUUGGCCCUGGGCUGCCACCCCCCUCUGCCAUCAUCAGCGUCGGUGGAGCGGUCCGGAGGAAGGGUUUUCCCCUUCUUGGACCCUCCGGCCUCCCCAGAGAGGGCGGCCUUCCUUUUCUUCUCUGCCCCCGCUGGAGGGGGAGAGGUCUCUUCUUCUUCCUCCUCGUCUUCACGGGAGGAAUGCGCCUCGGAACCGUCGGAUGAUGGAUCCGACACCUCCUGGCGCCGGGCACUCUUUCGAGUCCCUGCGGCCUUUUUCGUGGCCUUCUUCUCCGGCACCACAUAGGGUGCCGGAACCAGCAGCUUCGCCAAGCAAGCAUCCGCUGGGCCUUCGGGCAAAGGAGCCGGACAGUUGAUCUGUCCGGAUGUCACCUGCCAAUCCUGUCAAAGGUAAGGGAGUUUAGAUCUCGCAUGGAGUCAAACUAUGAAAAACUGAUACCCUGUAAAAGGAAAAAACAGCUUACUGCGAGAGCGUGACGCUGCGCACUGAAUCAGCGAUCCUCGGUAGCGGAUGCGGGAGCCUCCGCGCCCUUGAAAAGCACCUUCCAGGCAUCUUCGUACGUCGUGUUGAAGAGCCUGCUCAGAGUUUGGUGCCACGCUGGGUCGAACUCCCAUAGGUUGAAGGCCCGUUGUUGACCUGGACUACGUUGACAAGUUUGAGCUUCUUGUCCACCAGGGUUUGGACGCAGGUUUGGAGUCCGGUCAGCUCUCCCUUCUUACCCUACGACAGGCCCGUCUCCUUCCAGGAGGUGAGCCGCGUAGGGGGUCCGGAUCGAAACUCAGGGGGUGCGACCCAUUCGGCGUCGCACGGCUCGGUGAAGUAAAACCACCCCGAUUGCCACCCCUUCAGGGUCUCCACAAAGGAGCCCUCGAGCCAUAGGACGUUGGCCAUCUUGCCCACCAUGGCGCCUCCGCACUCCGCCUGGUUGCCGCGCACCACCUUCGGCUUGACGUUGAAAGUCUUGAGCCAUAGGCCGAAAUGGGGGCGGAUGCGGAGGAAGGCCUCGCACACAACGAUAAACACCGAGAUGUUGAGGACGAAGUUCGGGGCCAGAUCAUGGAAAUCCAGGCCGUAGUAGAAGAUGAGGCCCCGGACAAAUGGGUGGAGAGGGAAGCCCAGUCCAUGGAGGAAAUGGGGGAGGAACACCACCCUCUCAUGGGGCCUAGGGGUGGGGAUGAGCUGCCCCUUUUCGGGAAGCCGGUACGCGAUGUCGUUAGACAGGUAUCCGGCCUUCCUCAGUUUUUUGAUGUGUCCCUCCGUGACGGAGGAGACCAUCCACUUGCCUCCCGCUCCGGACAUGGCUGGAGAAGGUUGAGGUGGGGAGUGCGGACUUGGGCGCUGGAGCUCGAGUGCGCAAGAAUGGAUAGGCGAAGGAGGAAGAAGGCGUAGGUGAAAAGGUGGAUCCUUAUCCCCUUAUAUGGGUGGACGCAACUACAUGUCCCCACAAGCCUGGUAAAACUUGCUUAUCUCCAAGCGCCGUAAUCAAUGGCGCGGUUGGGUUACCCACGCCCGUAUUGAUGAGAAUCUCGGGAUAAGGGGACACGAUCUCUGCUUUAACAAGACGUGCCAAGGAAAUCGCCUCGCAUGACGCGCUGAGGUGGGAUAAUGAAACGACUCGGAUAAAGGCUUGGCCGUGGUGUGUCACGCUACGGAAUACGUCAGUAGAUUAGAUUGGCGUAAAUAUUAUUCUCUCUAUGGCAAUAUGUGGAAACUUAUUUUACAGAGCCGGACAUUAUCUUUGUGUUCAAAAUCUUCUAUGAAGUACUUGGAGGAGGAACCCGCCUUGCAAUGCCGAAGACAAUCUGCGCGCCGGACUCGUCGUCAUUGAAGCCUGGUUCAGGGGCUACUGAGGGAGUCCUGGAUUAGGGGGUGUUCGGAUAGCCGGAUUAUACCUUCAGCCGGACUCCUGGACUAUGAAGAUACAAGAUUGAAGACUCCGUCCCGUGUCCGGAAGGGACUUUCCUUGGCGUGGAAGGCAAGCUUGGCGAUACGGAUAUGAAGAUCUCCUACCAUUGUAACCGACUUUGUGUAACCCUAACCCUCUCUGGUGUCUAUAUAAACUGGAGGGUUUUAGUCCGUAGGACAACAUACAUCUCAACAAUCAUACCAUAGGCUAGCUUCUAGGGUUUAGCCUCUUCGAUCUCGUGGUAGAUCUACUCUUGUACUACCCAUAUCAUCAAUAUUAAUCAAGCAGGACGUAGGGUUUUACCUCCAUCGAGAGGGCCCGAACCUGGGUAAAACUUCGUGUCCCUUGCCUCCUGUUACCAUCCGGCCUAGACGCACAGUUCGGGACCCCCUACCCGAGAUCCGCCGGUUUUGACACCGACAACACCCAUGACUUGAGAAAACACACGUACAUGCCAGCUGUCGAUUCACCUUUUCUACAUUCCGUGCCUGAACCAACGUGCCUCACAUGCCUAACGAAACAUGCGCCGUGACUCUUACAUGGUCCCACUGCCACGCCCACGUCGCUCCCAAGACUUCACAACCAUGCCUCUUUAACCGAGCAAUCUAACACAUGCCUCUGCCACCGCACUCUUGUACUACAUCCACAGGGUUGGUACCCGUGCCUCGAGAAGCAGCUUGUCUGUGCCUGUAUUAGUUGCAUUUCUGUGCCUCCGCUGCUUACAUCCACGUGCCUCAUACGACACUGGCCUGACCUGUGGUAAUCUAACUGCCUAUAGAACCCACACUUCCAUGUCUCCUGUGCUUCCCUCUGGAAGUGCCUGUAGAACCCACACUUCCGUGCCUCCUGUGCCUGCAUCCAUGUGCCUGUAGAACCUGCACUUAUGUGCCUCGUGUGCCUGCAUCCAAAUGCCUGUAGAGAGGCUCCACUUCAGAACUAACAGUCUCAGCACUAAAAAAAAUACUGUAGGACAAAAAAACCAAGCCAAGCAUAAGGAAUCUUGAUGCCCAAACUGACGGCUGAAGAUUAGAGAAGGUUCGAUGGUUUCCAUCUCUCCCUCCCUCUUCUAUUACCUUGCUCCCCCUUCCGCGAAGUAAAUUUCGAAACCUUCAUCACUCCCGCACGCUCUCCUCCUUCCUUCUGCACACAAACACAAACUCGAAAUCAAGUUCGCGUCACCGGACAACCGCCACCAUGUUCCCCAACCACACUCAAAUCCGACAAACAAAUAGCCACACUCUGCCCGCGACAACACCAAUUACCCCGCCGCCUGCCGCGACCGACGGCGAGGACUUCAACAGCGGCGGCGGAAAUCGCAACAAAAAAGAAGCAACGACACAAUAAGCGGAUGAAAGCGAAGAACACAGCACAAGCAACUGAAGGUAAUUAUCAUUCUAUCCCACUCCAUUCCAGUGGGUAUAUCAUAGUGAUUUUUUAACUUCCAGGAACAGCAACCCUAGCCACCGCUACCAAGGAGUUUUCUAAUAACCUAAAUGAAUUUGCCUAUCAAAUUGAACUAGCACAGAGACGAGAUUUAAUAGAAAUGCUACUGCUCUCCCCCUGGGAUUCUCGCCAUACGAUUUGUGCUCAAAAGUAAAAAAACUGAAACAUCAGUAACUAGAAUACGUCCAUAGAUCCAAACCCCGCAAGCAUCCUGAGAGGCCUAAACUGAUAACCGUACGAGAUUUUCUACAUCCCUUGUCCGGUCAAUGUAACCAUUUUUCAAAUUAAGUGCCUCUACUGUGAAAUACCGUGAACAAAGAAUAGAUGUACCCUGUGCUUCAAUGGUAAAACAACCCAUGCCUCUCUAUCCAUGCAAAAUUGUUUUCACACCAUGCAGGUUUUUUUCCUGUGACACUCGACUCUGCUUCUAACAUCUGCCCAUUUUUUAUGCAGCAAUGACAAAUCCACACGAAGAAUCUAAAACGAGGCAAAAUAUUGACGAAGACCCUGCUGAAGAGCAUGCAAAUCAGCAAGCUCCUGUCAAAGGUUUGAGCAAAAAGUCUCCACUAUCCAUCUACAAAAAACUAUAUUGAGAGUUAUUAAAAACUUAACUGCUAUCCUUGACAACAAUAACUUAACUAUGUCUACAAAUAAAACUACCUGCCACUUUUUAUAUAUAACUUUAUAGAAAACAUAAAAAAUGUUCGCACACUAUCUUAUUUUUAAUUCAAAAACAGUUUAACUUACCCAAUAAAUCUUUAACUAUCAUUGAUGAUAUUCCUCCAAUUAUGAAAUAUCACCUGCAGAGUGCAUUUUUGUCUCAGAAAAUGCUUCACCCUAAGUUCACUACCCCAGCUGCACUCAUAACCUUAAUUAAUAUUUUCUUCCAUCCCCUGAUUAGCUCAAUCGGUAACAAUAGUAAAACCUAUCUUAACCCAAGAAAAUAAAACUAAAAAUCCCCUUUGGGAGUUUCACAUUUCUUAUGCAUAAUCAUGAAAGACAUAUAUUUUAAAUGUGUAUCAACUAUUUUUGGACAAAAAGAACAUCAUUUUUUGUUACCUGGUCAUUAUACAGGACACGAAGACGGUGAUAUUCACAGCGCAGAAACAAGCAGCAUGACUCCUCAUUCAUCAGAAAAAGGACACAGAACAAAACAUGAGGAACAAACCACCUGCAGAAGAAAUGAUAAAUUACACCAGGCUCAACAAGAAUAAACAUCCAGCAACGUGCAAAAAAAGAGGAAAUCAGAUACAAGCACUGUUUUUACUCCUGGAGCAAAAAGGCAAAAGCAAAACGACAUGCUGAAACCAACAUCGACACUAGUACCUUGCAGAAUCAGCCAUUACCUCUAAUGGUACUCCCGCCAACAGCACCAACCGCCACGAAGAAACAAGUUGAACGUAAGAAGAAAAACAAACAACGAAGGGUAGAAAAAUAACAAGACGAUACCAACAUGAAAGGUUCAGAUACCAAUGAUGACGAUGAUGACAGGGAACAUGAGGCAGAUUUCAUUCCUACAGACGGCGAUGAUGCCGACGAGCAUGACACCGACGCAGAACAUGACGACGAUGUAAAAACACACUUAUGUACUAAUUUUGAAUACCACUAUUAAGGACUCAGGAUCUAAGGUUCCUUUCUAACGAAAACCUUUCAUUUUCUCUUCUGAAACAGAACAAAUCAGGACAAAAGGACAGAAAAAGAACAAAGACAAGCGGAAAAGAAUUGGCAGCACCAACAGUUGACGAAGAACAGCAAGAAACAGACGAAGAGAAAUGCCAAAUCAAGGCAGGGGCAGCAUUCGCUCAUGUCAAGAAAGCAUGGAAUUUAUUUAAAGACCGUCACAAGGAAGAUAUUAGGACGGCAGGAUUUGGCAGCAUAGAGAAUUGCAAAAUAACGGGCUCCAUCUGUAGACCACUUGCAGCACACAUCUACGACAACCUGGACAUAGAAAGCAUGACAAUAACCUUCGGUGAUGGUACCGAAGACAAGAAACUCAAGAUUACCAAGGAAGCUAUACACAAGGUGUUUGGUUACCCAAACGACACAGAAAAGUCAGCACCAAGGCCAGCGAAGAACCCAAUUUCAAUGAAAAAACUGAUGUCAGACCUUGGCUUCAAACAUACAGAUUUCAGGCCAAAAGAACUAUUCACGGAGCUAAAUAAAUUGGUGGAACUAGAUGAUGAACAGUCAAACAGGAAAUCAGUUAAAAUAUUUUUCCUUAUUUUUUUCCACUGCGGGUCAAGCGCCGCUAUGUUCGCCCGACAAGCUAUAAUGGUUGAGGACAUGGACUAUCCAGAGAUGGAAAAGAUGGAUUUCUAUGAGGUAAUCGUCGAAUGUAUUAAGGAAGGAGCCAAGACAUGGCAGAAACACAGAGAUUUGCCUCAGGAAGAAAAGAACAAAAAGCAUGUCAAUGGUUUGUCACAGGGGCCAGUAAUCAUGUACCUCGACUCCCUACUGCUGCCAACCGACACAAAAGAAAUGCGGAAGAUUGCAAAGACAAUGGACAAGACCUCAUUACCACGAGCAAACCAUCUCAAAGAGAGUGACCUAGAGAAAAUAGCUAGAGCAGACAUGAAAAGGAACGGAAAAGCAUGACCAGAUGACUAUGAAUUUGGCAAAAUACAGGUAUAGCUAUAUUCUACAUAAAUCAGGCCUUCCCUGUUUCAAAACGGUUUCCAUUCUAAUUAACUACAUUCCACCAAAACGAUGCAGACAUGGAAAGGAACAGCAGAGAGGAUCUUCUAUGCCAACACAGCAUCAACUUCGUCUUCAAUUCGGUAGAUAGCAGGAGAACAUCACAAACAACAGCAACACCAGAACACGACCAAACUGCUACCACCUCCACCCAAACGCCGGCGGGAACCACGUGUCGGCACCAGUGGAAGCAGGGAACCAAACAAAAGCAUCAGCACAGGAGCAGAAGAAAAAUUCCAAAGGAUAAUAAAAUUGUUGCAAAAAGUACUCCAUGAAGGAGAUCAGAUACCCUCAGUAACCACCAGGGCUGAAAACCAAUGCAACAAAAAGGAAAAAAUACUGGAUGAAAAGAACAAGAACCUAGUCGUGCAACAAACAAUUGCCCUGAUGGAUUCAUUGGAACAACUCAGACAGUUUCAGGACAUAGUUUGCACAAGGUACCUCACAGACAACGCGACCCUGCAGACACUAGAGCAAGCAGAUCCAGCAACCUCAAGUAGACUAGCCGAUGCCAACCGCAUGAAUGAAAUCGUAGCCACAACAGAACCAAGAUAAAGGAAAAAAAAAGAAGAAGACGAAGAGAGGAAGAGAAGAGCAAAAUCAAGGGACAUAGGCAUUGACAAGAACAAGAUAAAGUGGCAAAAAUAGGUAAGUAAAUAUUAAUGCAUGGUGCCAUGCACACACUAAAGCAAACCCCUAUUUUCAUACCUAAACUGAAAAGAACUGCCUCAAUGCUUUCAGGAACGUACCAAUAGCACGCCAGGCCAAGAUGAACUCCAACGGCAUGAUGGUGUCAACAACCCCAAAAACACGAAUGAACACAACAAACAAAGCAAACUCACAGCAGACAAUGCUACAACAACAACUACCCCAACACAAGAACAAGAUACGAUUGACGUCAGAACCUGUGAAGAGGUUAGUAUGAACAUCCAUUUUUCCUUUCAAAACCGGAUAGAGUUAUAAGUGAACUGACAAACCUCCAACAAAAUUUAGGCUCAGCUGAAGAACAAUCAAGUGAGAAGCCUAGCCAAACAAAUGCAAGAGCCUAACCCACAAUCAACCGUUAGCAUAACAAAUGACAAAGAAGAAGAAAACAACGAAGAGGAGGUAAACUUCCAUACCCCACUAUUACCAACACCGAAAACUCAUAAAUGGCAGGAAAGAAAGUGAACCGCAAACUCAUAUUGUUUGAUCUCCAGGUAUCACAAACACUGCAAGACCAAGAGACAACCCGUGAUGAAAUUGAACCCCAUAGUGAACCUCAAACAGAUGAAGGGGGCACACAAUAGGAACCUUGUGUACAAGAGAUUUCCAGCACCACAACAUUGCAGAUCACCAUCACGAGUACAAAGGAGAAACCACAAGACAUCCCAGCAGAUGAGAAACAAGAGAUUGUUAUACCUGAUAAAGAAACAGUAGAUGCAUGCACAAAUAACCCAGUCAUCAACACGGAGGUAAAAAUUAAACAACAACAACCACUUUUCAAAAUAUUUUUAUGAUGCCUCAACUACCUAAUACACCCCGCCACGUCAACACAGAUAUUAUAAGGGAUGUCUCACCACUUUCUUUGAACAAAUGCAGGAAACAAACGAGUACACUGAUCUCGAAGAACAACAACUUCAAACAACAACAUCUGAAGAGGUUGAAGAGGUGAGGUUACAAAGCUCACACACAAAUGAAGUUCAAUCUAUAAUUUCAAUUUUUAUUAAACAGGAAGAGGAAGCAAGCAAAAGCACUGCCAUAGACAUUCAACAGGAAAAACUAGAGGACAACAUGAGACAAGGAGAAGCCGUAAUACAAGGAGUAGACAGUCCUGCAACUCCAAAGAUAGAGGUCUUAUAAAAAAUUGUAACUGAAACAGUCAGAAAUGCACCCAUUUCUUAAAAAAAAUUGUGAUGGUGCAGACACAAGAAGCUCAAGAAACCAUCAACAAUCAAGACCCUCAAACACAACCAGGGGAGCCCAAUGAAGAACCCAAACAUGGUCUUCAAACGAUAGACAAUAAUGCCACUAAAGACCAAGCCACAAAAAAAUCACUGACCGAACAACAGCUACAAGAGACAGCGGCGGCGUCAACGACUGAAAAGUUAAACUUACGAAACCUGCAACUAUGAAAUUAUAAAACUGCUGCGUGCAGAAUAAAAUAAACUUCAACCUAACACAUUUGUACUCACUCCAAUGGACUCUCACUUUGCUGCCUCUAUGUUUGAACAGCUGAAAGAAAAAAACAAGGUCAAUGACAAUGAACAGCAAAAUAAAGAGCAAGAAAAGGACCCAAAACCACCACCGAACGAAGAAUCAGCAGUAACAACAACAAAUACAGAGGUGAAAACACAUAACACCUCUUCAUGAACUUAUAGUUGAAAACACGCAAUUGACAUUUCACUACUUUCCUACAUAGCAGAGAGAGGAGACCAAUGAGCAAAAGGAGGACACUGAAGAAGGGCAAUAUGUUCUUCAAAAGGCAGCCAUCAACGUAACAGAAGACCAAGCCCAAAAAUAUUCACUCACCGAAAAACACAUAAUAGAGACGGCAGCAGCAACAACGACUGAAAAGGUAAAGUUACAAACGUUGGUCCUAUCAAAGUAUAAAAUAGCUAUGUGAAACCUCAAAUGCACUGCCACUUAGCCACCUCUGUGUUUCAAAAGCUACAAGAAAAAAACGAAGGCACCAGCGAUGAACUACAAAAGAAAGAAGAAGAAGAUGCCCAAAGACCUCCACUCAAUGAAGAACAAGCACAACAUUCAGCAGCAACGAUUGAGGAGGUAAAGUUACAUAAGCUGAUUCUAUGAAAAUAUAAAGUAGUUCCAUGAGAACUAAAAUGCACUCAAACUUAGCAACCUUUAUGACUGAACAGCUGCAAGACAAAAAACAUGACAGUGACGAUGAACACCAAAACAAAGAACAGGAGGAUACCCAAGAAACUACACUCGACGAAGAACGGGUGGAACAGUCAGCAUCACCAACGAUAGCUCAACAGGUGAAGUUGCACAAAAAUAUUUCCACAACAUUACAUGACUUAAUCACAAUCAAAAAAGCUCAAACAAGGCACCAAACAAUUCGCUGUUUUCCCAUAACAUCUGCUAUAAUUGAAAUAAAGUAGCAAGUUAAAUUAUUUCAAUGCUUUUUCAAUGAUAAUGCAGAAACACGAAGAAGGCGACCACGGACAUACAAGCAAUGAAGGAGGCACACACAUUGUUCCGGAGAAAGAAAACAAACCAUCAAAGAAAACCCUACACCAUCAAAUGAUGCCAAUUCCCCUAGCAGAGAGGUCAGUGCCAACCAGGUCGAGACUAAAAAACAAGACGGAAAAGACCAACAGCAAGACACGACGGUUGACAAGGAAAAACAUGAUACUAAGAAAGACACAGACGACUCAUAUGAAGAUGCAGAAAAAACUGAACAAAAGGGUACAAUGGAAAAAGAAGAACAAAAUAUGUUGCAACAAGCAGAAGGAGAACAAGAAAAGAACAACACUGGACAGCACAUAUCUUCUAGCAUCGAAGCAGGCAAGACAAUAUAAACUUAAUUGCUAUCUUGUCAUCUUGUGACUUGGAGCUAUUUAUAUUAAAUUCAAAAUCAUCGCAGGCACAGUGGAGAAAGGGGACAAAGAUAGUGAUUCCGUCAACAAAGCCAUCGAAGACCUGUACAACGUUGUAUGCAAGCCGUGGACACAGAGAGAAAUGUAAGUUCAUGAAACUAACACAAAACACAUUAUUACACACGAUCGUUUUGACUGUAUCAUGUGUAAACUAAAACCUUUUUAUAAAUAUACUUUGUAGGGAUGAGCUUUUCAUUACAACGAACAAGUUUGAUGUCAAUCUAGGCCAUGUCGCCGAAAGUUUCAAGGUCAGUAAUUCAGUAUGCACCAAAGCAAUCGAGCCCAUGCUAACAAUCUUGAGAAAACAACUAAAUGGCACAGGGAGAAAGAUUCUGUCGUUAAGCAACACUGUAAGUAAAGAUCAUGGCAAAAGAAUCACGUUUAAAACAAUAUAUAUGACUUUAUAACUGAACUUACAAAUUCCCUUUGUCUACCCGUGACAAAACAAGCAGCACUCGAUAAAGGAAGCCGCCGACGAAGAUCCAAUGUGCUACAGAAAUAAUGAUCAAGAACACAUUAGAAAAAAAAUACUACCUCCCAGGCUUACAUCAUUUUUCAACAUGCAACAAGAAGAAAAACUGCAAGAUUAUAACAUGGUAAGCAUAUCAGCUUGCAUAUAUGUUAUGAAAGGUUAUCUUUUUAUUUUAUGUUUCUAAAUAUAAGAAGAUUUCCAAAUAUUUUAUUUUAUUUUUUGUUUUGCAGUUCCUUCUACCAUGUUCGUUGCGCGGAUUUAAGCAAGACGAAAAUACAAGUCAUUACUUCACCAUUACAGUUAACAUGCAAAAACAGCGCUUUGAACUCCUUGACUCUUCAACUGCAUAUCCAGACACAAUAGAAUUCUUCAACAAUGUAACAAGGAAAUUAAUGAAAAUAAAUAUGGAAGCACGUAAGCACAGAGCUACAGCUUUCACAAAAAAGCAUCGACCAUUUCAAGAGGGUCAAACUGCAGGUGCCACUUCAAGGAGAAGACACGUAAGCACUUGCAACAUUUCACUUCUUUCUUUUUUUCAACGAAAGAUUCAAUACUACAACUACUGUAAUGAAGCUGUUCUUUCGUGUUUUCGAUGCAACAAUUACCACUACCAUUGCUCCAACACUUCUCUUCUUUCUGUUUCUUGAAUGCAACAACCUUACUAGUACCAUUCCUCUACAUGCAGAAUGGACUGCGCAUUCUAUAUGUACAUGAACCUGAAGCACUACUCCAAUGAUGGAACAGCAGCAAACUUAGAUCCAGAACAAGUACCAGAGUUGAGGAAAAAAAUUCUAUAUCAACUAAUCAGUCAACACAGAGGGAAUACCAAACUGUCAUUAAUCAGGUGUACAACAGGUUAGUCUUUUCAGAAACUAAUCCUUACAAUUUGGUCACACUAGAAGAAGUAAUAUUCUUUUUUUAAUUUUUUUUAUUCUAACAGAUAUGCUGAAGUAUGAAGUUCAUAUGGGAGACAAAGAAAUGCAACAGACAGAAUGUUGCGUACUAGAAGAGUUUCCGCCAAAUCCCAAGCCAAAAGAACAUGAAGUUAUUGAUAUAUCCAGUAAACACAAAGAGGUUAUGGAUGUCAGCAAACACGCCGUCGCCCAAGAAUCUUGCACAGACCACAAAGAAAAGGAUCCACCAAUAGAACCAGAUCAACCACCACCAGACGACAAGAUACCACACCACUCUGAAGAGCAAACAGACGAGCAAAAUAUCAACAGCAAUACCCCGCCACAAAUCAACUUGAACAAAUAGGCACUGAUUUAAAAGAGGAUCACACAAGCAACGAUGCACCACAUACACAAGAACAGGUUUCCGAGCAGAAGAAACAACCUGUUCUUCUUCAAGAAGAAACAGGCUCAACAAGAAAUCAGCAAGGCAUCUAUAGCACCAUCUCUCUAGAUUUUCUAAAACCCAAAACAAUGGAAAAGCAGGACGAAGUUGCUGAAUUUCUUUCAAGCCUUAACCCGCUCCAACUAGAGGUAUACAACGAGCAUGUAAAGAUGGGCAUUGAAUUCGAUGUAAUCAUAACAUGGAUGAAUCAAUAUGAAAGCUAUGAAUUCGACAAAAAUCCCACGCCGUAUCUGACAAUCUUGCAGCAAGAAUUAGGAGAGAAUUCAAUGCCUCAAUCAUUUGAGAACAGCUCAGACAAGAAAAUCUCGGUCAAGAAGAGACCGGUAAAGCCUUCAACAAGGCUGCAUGGGAAAAUUCCUACUUUUGUCCCAGGAGAUUUCAAAUUUAUGGACAAAGCCAGAGCACUUCAUGAAUACCUAUUUAGCAAAGAAGGACAGGACGAAUGCGGAGAGUAAGUACUUUCUCUUGUCAGAACAAAAAAACAAAGAAAUGUUGCCCCUUUUUAAACCAACCUAACCAAUGUAUAAACUUUUUCUGCUUGCAGUCUAAACCUAUAUAUUAGCUCGAAGCGACCCGAUUGGAUUACAGGAAAACAAAUGAUGGAACAGCUACGGAAAGGAGAUCACGGCAGAUGGAGGGAUCCAUAACAAACACAUUAUUCGAAGAAUGGACACUGCAGCAACAAUACAACACAGCUGAUAAAGCAAUACUUCCCGUAGAAUUUGCAAACGUAUAAAGUCCAACUUGACAAAAACAAUUGCAUCAUUUUAGUGAUUACAAAAGAUUGUGCUAAAAACUAGAAAAAAAAUUGGUCGCAGAUCGUGCUCGGUGUUAAAAUUGGAGAAGAAGGAGGACUAGCAGAAUUCAAUGAGGACGAAGCAUUGAAACAGUUUGCACCCCUUGUAACAGGGAAGGAACUUUUAAAGAAAAAGCUGGUAAGUUAAUAGAAAUAUACAAACAUAAUUCAUUUUUCCUACAGAUUGCACAUUUACAUGUCAUUUAAUUCUCCUAACAAGAAUGAACUUUAACUCACUCUGACUCCAAACACCGCAGAUUAUGAUACCUCACAACACAAAUAAACACUACAAACUGUACGUGCUCAACAAGUACACGAGCUCCAUCGACAUACUUGACUCACUGAAUUACAGAGUCAGAGGCGGAAAAAAACAUGGAAACACACCAUAAGGAUCACCCAGAACGGGUACGUCAAUUCAACCUUGUUUUCUAAUUGGUUUUACAGUUCCUACAUUCCCUUGUUUAAUGCCAAAACCCAACAAUAACACCAAACCGUAAUCACAGAUUAAAAGGAUGCAUGCACUCAUGAAGAAGCAUUACGUCGAAGCGGAGCUACGAGCCAACGGCGAACCGAACUGGUCGAGGAUAGCAGAAACACCCAACAGAGUUUACGUGCCAAAACAGCAGGGUACCCAAUGCGGACACUUCAUGGUUCAAUUUGCAAAAUACUGGCAUGGCAUUGAUCUCAUAAAAGAAGAGGAGGAUUUCGAUGUAAGUGAAUAGUUUGAGAGCAUCAAUUUUAAUUUUUACAAGCAGCACUACUUGAAUACUUCAAUUAUCUCAUGAAAGAACAAAUAAAAGAAUACCCAAUGACCUCCAUGCAGCAAAGCAACAUUGAUGCCGAGUGGAAACCGGAGUUCCUUUUUACAACCACAUUUGGUGAAACAAACCAAGUAAAGUGCGAGGAACUACCUGGAAGAAUCAAAAAAUUCAAACCAGAAACUUCAAAGUUCUUUUCCACCAACAAAGGUAAGAAAAUAAUUUCUACUUAUCUUUUUUUCAUAAUAACCAACCCAUCCCACGGUUCACCAAUGUCUUUCGUAUCAGUAGAGCUUACAUAUCACAUACCUGCUUCCGGUGACAGAAACAGAUGAAACUAAAAGGGACAAAAGACAAAGCACCAGACUAUACCCAAAACAUUCUCAUUGCUUCCAACACACAACGGAGGCGUCCAACCUCUUCCAUCUAGUCAUGAGCGACAGCUGGCAGGAGGAAUACAAAAAGUGAGUUGUUUUCUAUUGCACCUCAAAAUAGUUGCACAGAGGCCAAAAAUAAUGUAAAAAUCUGUUUCUCACUGACCGUGACCUCCAAAAUUAUUUAAUCUCCCUGUCGCAGCAAAACUAUAUUUAGACGCAUCCACAGGGACAGUGAAAGCACGCAACUAACUGGAGCCCAACUGAAGGCAGUAUUUGGUCCAAGACCAGCACAAACGAACAUACCACAUCAUAUGGAAAAGAGGGUCCUCGAUGACAUAGCAGAAAUCUGGGAAAGCAGACAAGAUUCAAAACAGAGUGAUAGAGUAAUAUUAGGCCCAAACUUUGCAGAGGUAAAAUUUUAAAAAGCAAAAUCUUGUCUAUAUUGCAACAACUACUCUUUUUAUAUUGUUACACGGCUUUUUUUCUAACAGUUUUUUUCAUCGUAAUUAUUGUUUGCAGCAUAUAUUGGAUUUAAAGCAUCACAAAACUAGUAUUAAAAAAUUUAAGACUGAAUUGCUAAAAAUAAAGAAUCAACUGGUUCCCAUGUAUCUCAAGAAAAAUCAGCAGAAAAAGCUCUCAACAGCAAACAUGGUAACAACCCUUUCCUCCCUGACAAAAUCUCAAAAUAUGCAUUCUAUUAAAUUACUUUAUAUUAAACUGUCAUCUAAGCAAUAAGUAUUUUGUAUGCAGAUAUUCAUUCCAAUGGAGAAGCAUGACCGCUAUGUACUAUAUGUGCUGGACAAAUACAAAAACAGAGUUCACAUUAUUGAUCCUCGAGAAACGACUCCAGAGGAAUUUGAGAAAGAAAAUAUAGACGUAGAUGAAUUGGAGGAAAAUGAAGCAAAUCGAGUUCUUCAGGAAAAUGAAGAUGCUGCAGAAGAAAGAGAAAGACAAUUUGAGGAAUAUCAUGUUCAUAAGUUGGCAAUCGUAAGCAUUUAUACAUAACAAUUUUUUUCAGUUUUACAAGUUGCAAUAUAAAAACAAUUAAUUACAAAAUGCAAUAUUCCUAGGUACCUAGGUUUAAAGAAGUCUUCAACACCAUCCUAGGACAAACAAUGACUCCCAUGCGUACAAGAUGGCAGAUCCAUACCGUACAAGAUGUUCCAGUGGUAGAAAAGGGAGAAUCAACAUUUGUUGUUUUAAAACUUGCAUUCAUCUACAAUGGUGAAAAGUUUGUCCAAGACCUAGAAGAUUUGACAGUAAGUUUAUAUAGAUUCACUUAUAAACAACUUAUAUGCACAAACUCUAAUAAUAUACUUCUCUUCUUGGCAAAAUUUCACAGGAUGAGGUCGAAGAUUGGAGGGCAGAGGCAAUGUACAUUCUCUUAAGUAGCAAGAUGAAUCAAGUCAAAGCUAGUGAAAUGGAUGACGAGAUUAGCAAGAUCUUGAGCAAAAAUGAAGACUAAAACUUUUUGAUUUAGCCCGUGAGGCUAAUUCUAUCUAGACGUGAUAAAAAAUGCCAAUAACUCACAUUUCUAUGUAAUGUAGUUAGAAAUUGCGUGUUCAUGUCGAAAAGAGAAGUAUUUCGACAACAAUGCCUCUUACAUCACCGGAGAAUGCCAGUAAACUAUAAACAACAAUGCCUCUUCUUAUUUAUACGACAACACUGACUCCCAAAACGAACCAUUACGCAUGACUCUGGGGACCACCCUCCCGUGCAUCCAGAGGUGACAAGGCCUUUGUGCCACCAAACUCUGGGUCACCAUGCACCCGGGCAAUGUCCACACACACACAUACCAUUACGCGUGACUCUGAAAACCACCCUCCAGUACCUCCAGAGCUGGAGACCACCCUCCCGUGGCUCCAGAGAAGACAAUGCCUUUGUGCCACCAAACCCUGGGUCACCAUGCCUCCGGGCAAUAUCCACACACACACACAUACCAUUACGCGUGACUCUGNNNNNNNNNNNNNNNNNNNNNNNNNNNNNNNNNNNNNNNNNNNNNNNNNNNNNNNNNNNNNNNNNNNNNNNNNNNNNNNNNNNNNNNNNNNNNNNNNNNNNNNNNNNNNNNNNNNNNNNNNNNNNNNNNNNNNNNNNNNNNNNNNNNNNNNNNNNNNNNNNNNNNNNNNNNNNNNNNNNNNNNNNNNNNNNNNNNNNNNNNNNNNNNNNNNNNNNNNNNNNNNNNNNNNNNNNNNNNNNNNNNNNNNNNNNNNNNNNNNNNNNNGGCAAUAUCCACACAGACACACACAUACCAUUACGCGUGACUCUGAAAAUCACCCUCCCAUGCCUCCAGAGCUGGAAACCACCCUCCAAUGGCUCCAGAGAUGAAAUGGCCUUUGUGCCACCAAACCCUGGGUCACCAUGCCUCCGGGCAAUAUACACACACACUCAUAGCCAUACGUGUGACUCUGGAGACCACCCUCCCGUGGCUCCAGAGAUGAAAUGGCCUUUGUGCCACCAAACCCUGGUCACCAUGCCUCUGGGCAAUAUCCACACACAAACAUAUCAAGAACGCCUCAACCGUAGCUAGCUCCUACACACACGUGACUUCACAUGCUUCAAACCCAUGCCUCCGCAGGCAACAUACCAAUGCCUUCGUAGUAUACACACAUGUGAAUGCACGCACAAACCUAGCUCAUAAACAGACGUGACUGCAAUUACUUCAAACCCGUGCCUUCAGCACAACGUUCAGCACAAACUUCAGCACAUGCUUCAAACACAUGAUUCAAACCCGUGCCUUCAGCACAACCUGCUAUAUAAAAAUUAAACAAGCAGAUUCCCUUGCGCCGGAGGCGCCGUGCCACACUUCGACCUACACACACUUCGACCUAUGCCCCCCCUUCAAGAUGUUUAUGAAAAUUAAACGAGCCGAAGGCGAGCCGGAGGUUCCCUCGCGCCGGAGGCACCGUGUCACACGCCGCACGACCAACACACACUUCGACCAACACACACUUCGAUCUAUGCCCCCCUUCAAGAUGUUUAUGAAAAUUAAACGANNNNNNNNNNNNNNNNNNNNNNNNNNNNNNNNNNNNNNNNNNNNNNNNNNNNNNNNNNNNNNNNNNNNNNNNNNNNNNNNNNNNNNNNNNNNNNNNNNNNNNNNNNNNNNNNNNNNNNNNNNNNNNNNNNNNNNNNNNNNNNNNNNNNNNNNNNNNNNNNNNNNNNNNNNNNNNNNNNNNNNNNNNNNNNNNNNNNNNNNNNNNNNNNNNNNNNNNNNNNNNNNNNNNNNNNNNNNNNNNNNNNNNNNNNNNNNNNNNNNNNNNNNNNNNNNNNNNNNNNNNNNAAGGCGAGCCGGAGGUUCCCUCGCGUCGGAGGCGCCGUGUCACACGCCGCACGACCAACGCGUCGCACGACCAACACACACUUCGACCAACACACACUUCGACCUAUGCCCCCCUUCAAGAUGUUUAUGAAAAUUAAACGAGCCGAAGGCGAGCCGGAGGUUCCCUGGCGCCGGAGGCGCCGUGUCACACGCCGCACGACUAACGCGCCGCACGACCAAUACACACUUCAACCUAUGCCCCCCUUCAAGAUGUUUAUGAAAAAUAAAUGAUUAUCAAAUGUCACAUGACGACGUACAACGUGAUUGAAUGAUUCUGCAGACUCCUUUUUUUCAUUAAAAAGUUGCUUUUUUUCUUUACUUGAAAGGUGACAUCUGAUAGUGUUGGUAGUCCCCGCCCGUAACUACCCCAUAAAUCUCCAUUACCCGGAAAUAUAAUGGGAACAAAAAGGGAAACGAGAAAGGGAAAAUGGGAACCAACCGCGCGAACCGGUAUUUUUUUUGUGUUUUCGCGUAGAAAGGGAAAACAAAAAAUUCAAGUAGUUCGAGGAUCAAAUUGCAAAAUGCAGCAAACCACAAACCGGAAAUGGAAAACCGGGAACCAACCGCGCAACUGGUUUUCCUUUGCGGGAGCGCUCCGCACGCGACACUUGUCACGCGUGGAGCGCUCCGAAGGAGCGCUCGUUAACUAGUUGCUCCCGUGUAAGAGGCGGGGUGUGAGCGGUGAAAGGCACAGGCGCAAAGCGAAGUAUUCAUCUUUCGAUAUGUCGGUAUGCACCUAAAACCAUACCGAAAUCAUUGGUUAACCAAAUGCCGGUUAGCUAUUUGGGUUGCCAAUUUUGGUUUGUAAUUUUGCUAAGAUUUUUUUAAAGAACAAUUGUUAAGAAAAAUAAGGUUUCUACCAAACACCCAGACUGAGUGGUGCCUUGACAACAUAUUGCAAUUCUCGUGGAGACUUCAACUAAGCAUAGCCUCUUCAAGCCUAGGCGGCACAUCAGUGUUGCGAACCUCGGCUAUGCUCUAUCCUCCGUCUGGUCGACAACACAACAUUGUUGUCACUCGGUCUCGAUUGUCUGAUGUCUUUUGACUAUGUCAUUGUCGGUCCCCAAUUGUGGCUCAUGGUCUCGCAUAAUUCUAUGUUCUGGUGUCGCAUAAUUCGGUUCGCCUAUCACUAACCUCCCCGGCCUCUUUCGUUUCCCCCUAUUACUUUGUCUGUUUGCUUGGACUUUGCACUUGUUUUCUUUCUAAACAACGUGUGUGUGUCUNNNNNNNNNNNNNNNNNNNNNNNNNNNNNNNNNNNNNNNNNNNNNNNNNNNNNNNNNNNNNNNNNNNNNNNNNNNNNNNNNNNNNNNNNNNNNNNNNNNNNNNNNNNNNNNNNNNNNNNNNNNNNNNNNNNNNNNNNNNNNNUUUCUCAAAGGCCAUUUACGAAAGUUUAUAGAAAAGCAAUAGUGCGGGAGGCAAGGUAUCGACGCCAAGACAUGGCAGCCACCUUUAGUGAAGGAGUUUUACAACGGUAACACCAAAGGGUGAAUACACUAACAAUGUUCCAAAUUGUUACAUCUGCGUGAUGCGUCUCAUCGCGGAAGACACAAGCCGAAGAGGCAUAUGCACCCGGAUGAAAAAAAACGUAAACUAUUCAAAGAAAAUAAAAAAAAUCAAAAAAAUUGUGCGGCAGACAAUUUGAUGCGUGAGACCCGCUUCAAAUUUCAAGUCAUUUGGACAUUUUAGCAGCUCUCAGCAAAAUAGACAAAUCAGGCUAAAAUAGUACAUGACAGUAAACAUUUUUAUAGACCUUCAAUUUGUCUUUUUUGCUGAGAACUCCUCAGAUGUCCAGAUGAUAUGAAAAUUGAAAUGCACCUCACAAUUUUUUUGGGGAUUUUUCUAAUAUUUGUUUUGAUUUUUUUAGUCGAUACAGGUUCAGGUGAGCUUGGAUGCAGAGAUGGAUUUUCGGUCAAAGAGUGAAAUCACUAACAAUGUUCCAAACUGUUACAUCCGCGUGAUGCGUCUCAUUGCUGAAGACACAAGCAUUGCGCGAGUCCCGUGGCAUGCACCCCCGUGUAAAAAUGAUGUUUUUGCCAUUUGGCUAGAUGAAAUGUUCACGUGGGCUGUUUGGCCCCGGCGACCUUUCAAAAAAAAUAUAAUCAUUCAUUUGUGCAGACAAGAUUCUGAAAAUCGUCCAUAUAAUUACUCAUCCUUUUGGCGAAGAAACAAUUAUUGGUACAUGACAAUUGUGACCUCAAGCUAAUACACGACGACACGGUCCUUUUAGUUUCCUGGAAACGGUGAGUGAUCUGACAAAUAACAAACAAUUAAUCAUAGUAAACUGUAAACAACAACAACCACGAUCAACCACUGUAGCCGGCGCGACGCGAGGCAGUCCAGCCCGAGAGAUCCGCUAGUUCUUCUCCUUGUCCUUGUUCUUGGACGGGACGCGCCCGUCGGUGCCGGCCAGUAUGCCGUACUUCUCCUUGCGGGUGAUGGUGGUGCACUCGAAGCCGAGCUGGUCGCUGAGCGUCUUCUGGAUGUAGUUGGCGACCUCGAUGGGCGACUUGCCCCCGCCGCAGGUGAGCUCCUUGGGCAGCAUGUUGAGGAAGGUGACCUCGUAGACCGGCCGCGGGUUCAUGAAGAAGAAGUAGGGGUCCAUGAGCUUGAACCCGCGCACGGUGGAGCCGUGGAACAUGUGCUCCCU
rnacentral:lncRNA from 1 species